UACGUAGGCAGCGAGCGUUGUUCGGAGUUACUGGGCGUAAAGGGUGUGUAGGCGGUUUUCUAAGUUUGGUGUGAAAUCUCCCGGCUCAACCGGGAGGGUGCGCCGAAAACUGGGAGACUAGAGUGCGGGAUGGGAGAGUAGAAUUCCUGGUGUAGCGGUGAAAUGCGUAGAUAUCAGGAGGAAUACCGGUGGUGUAGACGGCUCUCUGGACCGCAACUGACGCUGAGACACGAAAGCGUGGGUAGCGAACAGG
rnacentral:rRNA from 1 species